rnacentral:lncRNA from 10 species
AGUUGAUAUCAAGCAUUGGAUUUAAAUAUUUUCUUUUUAUUAUUAGUUUCCAACAUUUACUUUUUCCUUCCAGAUUAUCUCACACAGAGCUGUUGGAAUUACUUCGUGAUGAUUUCAAAGAAAAUUUUCUUCUCUAAACACUCUUAUCCCAAGACUCUGCGGAAACCCAGCAGCAAUAAGCUUUUAUAGCUUUCUUAUUCUGUCAAUCAGUUUCCAUUUCCAAAUACGAAAAAGGCCAAGGAAGUUUGUCCUCUUUUGAAUUCUCAGCUUCCCAGGUCAUGAAAAUGUCCUCCUCCUCACUUGUAUAUAAGCUGCCAAGCACACUUAACCCAAUUGCCAUUAUUUUGGAACUAACUUCUGACAUAUGGAUCAUAUUUUAACCUAUAAGUAGAUAUACACAUGUUCGAUAUGAAGUAAGUGUUUACAAAAUAUCCCAUGUAC